CCUUAUCAGCAGCUUUUUGGCCAAUUCAAUAUGUUGGAACAGGCAGAACUUACCUGUGAGAGGAAACACUCUGAUUCCCAGCACAGAACUAUUUUCGCAUCAACAAGGCCGUCUAAAAUGAAGCAACCGAAGAACAACUGAAAUUUAAGUCUAAUAGGGAAACCUUGGGUUCUGGUACUCAUGUGGAUGUUCUUUGACACACACCACCACCACCACCCGUAUGACGACGGCUCUUGUCGUCAGCAGCAGCCCCCCCACAGCUGGAUAAAGUACUCCGUCACAUCAGUCACAGCUGAGGAAUGUCUCUAGGACCACACCAAGGGCCUGCAGACUCUCCAUAUUCCCAGUGUGAUCGAGAGUCUGUGGGAUGCACCGGAACAAGCUGAAUCCAGUUUAUAAGCUGAAAGGACCAAAUACCCUCAGAUGUCCCGUGUCUCUUCCCCUGACAGGUCAGAGCUGUGUUGGCAGCACAACGGGGACCUACAAAAAAACAAAGCAGGUGGUAUUAAUGUUGUGGCUGAUUGGUGUACACCAUUCUACAGAGUGAAGCUCAAACAUUCAGGAAGUCUGCCUGCAUGUCAGUAAACCAAGCUGUGCCCAAAGGUCCAGUCAUCAGCUCAUCAUCGAGCCCUGAAGAAGCCUCCUAACGAGCCAUUCAUUUGAACCAGGUGUGAUGGAGCAUGGAAACAUCUGAAACAUGCGAGCAAGAAAUUAAUUUGAAUAAGCUUUGGCUUCUUCCACCUCCGCAAAUAAGUGUUAUGUCUUGUUGUUUCAUUGUUUUUCUUCUUCUUUCUUUUCUUUUCUUUUUUUUGUUUAUCUAUGUU